rnacentral:rRNA from 1 species
UACAGAGGGGGCAAGCGUUGUUCGGAAUUACUGGGCGUAAAGGGCGCGUAGGCGGCCGCCUAAGUCAGACGUGAAAUCCCUCGGCUCAACCGGGGAACUGCGUCUGAUACUGGGUGGCUUGAAUCCGGGAGAGGGAUGUGGAAUUCCAGGUGUAGCGGUGAAAUGCGUAGAUAUCUGGAGGAACACCGGUGGCGAAGGCGGCAUCCUGGACCGGCAUUGACGCUGAGGCGCGAAAGCUAGGGGAGCAAACGGG